GACGAACGCUGGCGGCGUGCCUAAUACAUGCAAGUAGAACGCACAGUUUAUACCGUAGCUUGCUACACCAUAAACUGUGAGUUGCGAACGGGUGAGUAACGCGUAGGUAACCUGCCUGGUAGCGGGGGAUAACUAUUGGAAACGAUAGCUAAUACCGCAUAAUAUUAAUUAUUGCAUGAUAAUUGAUUGAAAGAUGCAAUUGCAUCACUACCAGAUGGACCUGCGUUGUAUUAGCUAGUAGGUGAGGUAACGGCUCACCUAGGCGACGAUACAUAGCCGACCUGAGAGGGUGAACGGCCACACUGGGAAUGCGAAACGGCCCAGGCUCCUACGAGAGGCAGCAGUAGGGAUUCUUCGGCAAUGGACGAAAGUCUGAACGAGCAACGCCGCGUGAGUGAAGAAGGUUUUCGGAUCGGAAAGCUCUGUUGUAAGAGAAGAACGGGUGUGAGAGUGGAAAGUUCACACUGUGACGGUAUCUUACCAGAAAGGGACGGCUAACUACGUG
rnacentral:rRNA from 1 species